rnacentral:lncRNA from 1 species
AUUAAUCUAACACUUUACUCACAAAGAUUGGCAGUUGAGUUCAUCAUGGCUUGAAAUUAAAGAAGCUUGCACUAAAAUUGGGCUCUUCAAGUUUCAACAAUUCAAAACAAAAGAAAGGUUGGUUUGUCUAACAUUUUUUUUUUUUUGGUAAGAAUGUUUGGUUGAUCACCUCUUUAAUUCUGUCACCUGCUGCAGCCAGUGAUCCAAACAAAGAUGCACACAAAUCUAUUGGUCAAAAAUUGACUCUAAAUCUAAUAAAUAAAAUCUUUUCAUUUCCUCAACUUAAUUAUCGACCAAUAUGUAACCUACAUCUGCUCUUAAACUUUCACGAAACUCACAAAUUUUGCUCGGCGUCACAGAAAUUUCUUCUCAUUUCAAGUGCAUAUAACACAGUGAGUUGUCUUGACGACCCCUUUUUUAUAUUGUUUCAUCAUCAUAUGGCCGCUGCAUUUCGUGAAAAAGAGGCUUCAAGUGUAUGAAUGAGAUGGUUCUUUAUUUUGCAUGCAACUCUUUUAAGGUAUGUUAAUUGAUUCUUGUUGUUUAAUUCAUUCUUUUUGUUCCUGUUUUACUUAUAAUAAUCAUCAUCAUAACUAUAUUGUUAGUUCAUUCUUUUCUUUGUUGUGGGUAAAAUCUUUGACUUAUAUGCUCCAAACUUCUUAAUGUUAAUUAAAUUCUGCAGCAUUUUUGUUUUCCGAAACGUGUUUCUCUAUUUUCUCGCAUAAAACUUACAGAAAGCAAGAGUGGCUCUUCUGCAUACACCUGUUGUCAUUGCCAUCAGUACUGUUUUUUUUUUUUUUUUCCUUCUCUUUUCUUUUAACUUUUUGUUCUUGUUUUUGUUAUAAUAAGUAAGUUUAAUGGCUGUUAUUUUAUAUAUUUUUAAUGGUUGUUAUUUUAUAUAUUUAGUUUAUUAAGAACCAACUUUGUUCCAUGUUAAUAAUGCAUCAACUAGAGUAAGAGUACCAAUAGACAUGGUUAUUUCUAAAUAAUAGUGACAUUUUGCUAAUAUAUGUAAAGUUUUGUUAUAAUGUUCACUAAAUUUUGAGGUUUCAUAAAACAUAUAUCUUGAGGUAGUGGUUACAGUGGAGCUGCUUCAUUGUGGAACAUUAAUGAUGACCGUCAGAUCAUAAUAGUAAGUGCAUAAUUUAUAUGUAUCUUUGUGAUCAUACGAUCAUCAUCAAUGCUCUACUGUGAAGCAGUUCGUAUCUUGAAAAUUUAUAUUCAAAUUUAAUUUAGAGCUAAUUACAUGAUUUAAAGCGAAAAUGUAGCCCCACUUAGACUUCUUACCUUUUAUUAAAAAAGGAGAAAGAAGAAGACAUUUCAUUCACACAAAAAGAACAAAAUGGAAAAUGAAGUACCAUUAUUAUUUUUUUAUACGUAGAAGUAAUUUGUGUGUGUGUGUGUAUUAAAUGCGUUUUUGGUGCUAUAAUUGGUACUUGAAAAUUGAAAGCAUGUAAAAUUGGUCUAAAGGACCACUCUAAAUGCACACAACACACGCAAACAAAAUGAACUAUAAAAUAUUUUAAUAUUCUAACAUAUGUACAAAAAAUGCAAAAAUAAUAAUACAUUAUACAAUUGUAAAUAUAAUAACUUCUCUAUUUAUUUAUUUAAUAGUAUCAUAAACCAUUGGUCGACAAGAUAAAUAAAUAAAGAAAAAAAAAUCGAGGGUACAAACUUAUAUAUAAUAAAUGUUACUAAUUUGGGGCAGAAAAUAUUAAGGAUUAUGUAGAAAUUAGCAUUAGAAACCUCAAAAAAUAGAAAGGGAAAAAAACUAAUAUAUUUGCAAAUAAAUAUAUGAUAAAAAAUUUAUUUAAGAUUCUUAAAAUUUGAAGCACGUGAGCAUGGAACAAAGCAAGGAAUUUUCUGUCAAACAAAGUACGGCCAGACUUACCAAAUUAGUGUGCGACAAGUCAAGUAGUCAACCAUCUACCAAUCGCAGGCUGUUUUUGAGUAGACUGGUAGCUUCAGUUGACCGUUAGAUAUGAUUAAAAUCAUCAGUCAAACAUCAUCUCCACCGUCCAUCACCGCCUUCAUAGUUCUACUACCUCUACGGUUCUACUACACUUUCGGUCGGAAGUCACCGCAAAAUUUUUUGUUAAAAAAUAAAAGUUUUAUUAUUAUUAUUAUUUUGUUAAUUUGCUUGGUUUUAAUUCAGUUUUUUUUUUCUCUAUGAUUUUCAAUUGAACACGUGUAACUUAACAUGUUCCUAAUUUAAAGAUAUGGCGUCAAUUCAAUCUUGUCACAUGUUUAAUUUGUCAUUUUGGUGAAAGUAAGAACUGAUAUUAAUUCUUCUUACAUGUGAGAUUUGUUAUCAUUGUACAGAGACGUUUAAGAUUUUAAUAAUACUAUAUUUAUUUAGUUGGAAUACCUAAUUUGUAUAUCAAUUAAUAGAAUAAAUGAUGUGUCAUAAUUUGAUUGCCUCGAGUGAUAGUUAAUUAUUAAACCUUAUUAUUUAUAAUUCAAAUGAUGAAUUUUCAGUAGUGACAAAUUAGUUGGAAUAUAAAUUCUAUAAUCAAGAUCUUAAAUAUGAAUGUUAUACAUCCAUUAAAUGAGUGUAAUACAAUAGAGGUACAGUAGAAUCUCUUCUACAAACAAAAAAAAAAAAUCGGUAUCUUAGAUUUAAAAUAUAUAUAUAUAUAUAUAUUGUCGUUUAUUUGUGCAUGAGAAGAAUAAAAAAGGCCAUAUAUGAACCCAACUUUAGCCGGAGCAAAUGCGAGUUAAUUAGAUAAUAAGAGAAACGUAAUGAUAGCCGUGAAUGGCGAUAGGAAAUGCAUCAACUUGCAUGAUCAUUGAAAGAUUUCACUUGUGGGAUUAAGGGUUUUAAUAUGAUCGUAUGUAGGCUAUUAACUGUAGUAAAUAUUGAUUACGCAGCCAAUUAGUCAUUUAAUCUUUGUAAAACUAUCCAAGAAACACACAACAUUAGAAUUUCAUUCCAUCCCUCGCGAUAACUCGAGAUCUUGUGAGAGAUCAUAAUUUAGAGCUUCUUAUAUAUAUGUGUUGUUAGCCAGACUCUUGUUCAUAUAUAAAACAAUUUUUGUACACCUCGCAUAAUUAUUACUACCAAAUCAUCGCUUGUGUACGACAUCCUUUUCCAAAGCUCUAUAAUCGCAUUAUCUCCCUUUCAGCUUUCAAGAAACUAAUUCAUUGUGCAUGAUAUUGAAAUUCUAGUGAAACGGGUGUAUGAAGUUCCAUGUAUAUAGCAUUGGAAAUUCACGUUACAUUUUAAAUAUUAUAAAUGUAAUGUGAUCACUUUCGCAUGCUAGAUUCAAUACAAUACAGCAUAUUAGUUGUUCAAGUUCUUGGUUUUGUUUACGGCAAACAUGCAUAUUAAUUUCCAUCAAUACGACACAACAUUAAAGAUGAUAACAGAUGAUGAAGUGGAACAAGUGCAUGAAGAAAAUUAAACACAGAGAAAUAAAUAUAUAAGAAAAAACCCCAAUGUGCAUGCAAUUUCAUGUCGGACACGUAUGCAGAUGGUGAUUCACUCGAAGGCUACUCAACGUGUUCAUCAACCCUCCUGGACUCAUCUUGGUUCAAAGAAGAAGCCAUGAUUGGAGAUUCCCAGUUUGCUUCAAGGCCAAAAGUUGAUGCCGCUGCAGUCGAAACCAAAGGAUCCGAUGAUGAGCCAGUAAUUGUAUUCGGCAAUGCAAUCGUCUCAUUUGAUAGGUGCUGCUGUUGUUGUUGUUGCAGUACUUGUUGAUUAUGCUGGCUAGCAAAAGCAUCUUCAUUGAUCAACGAAUUGAGAAACGAAGAGAAAACAUCGUCGUUGCAGUAAUUGAUAUCUACAUCAACUUCAUAGCUAAGCCCUUCGUUAAAAACGUUAUUCACGUUAUUGCUUCUCAAACCCAACCCCCCAUCAUCGUCAUGAUGAUGAUCACAAUUCGAUAAACUCGUAUACGGGUUCUCCAUCAUCCCAUUUUGAUGAUACUCACUGUCAUGAUCAUCAACUAAAGCGUUCGGUGAAUACCCAUUUUCCUUAUUGAUCAUCAUGAUCGACGAGAUCAUUCUACCACAGCCAGCAGAGGUAUGACGUUGAUCUAAAUGACCAGAUGAAACGGUCAUUGGAGUGAGAUUAGGGUUUGAGCUGCUCGAGUUUAGUAUUGCUUUCGAAGUUGAAGCUUUGCUGUUGCUAUUAGUAACUUGAUCAGCAGAAGAAGGAUCAAGUUCUUGAUUCAAUGGCUUAUGAGUUCUUGGAUCAAUCCCUUGGCUUAUCAGCUUCUUACUCAGGUGAGUGUUCCAGUAAUUCUUUAUCUCAUUAUCUGUUCUCCCCGGAAUCCUCCCCGCUAUCAGAGACCAUCUAUAAAGCACAAACACAAAACCAAAUUCAGUUAACAAAAACCCUAGCCCUAACUCUGAAGUACAAACCAAAAACAAACCGAGUAAAUAAAAUCCAUGGAAACCCUAAGGUAUUCGUGGGUUAUUAUAUUCUUAUUACCGGUUACCGAGAAGGCGAUGUAGGCGAAGAAUGAGAUCUUCUUCAUCAGGGGCGAUAUGUCCUCGUUUAACGGAGGGUCUCAGAUAGUUCAUCCAACGAAGCCGGCAACUCUUGCCGCAGCGGAGCAAUCCGGCCCGUUUUGGCAGAGUUCGCCACCGGCCUUCGCCUUCUUUAUUGAUGUAGUUGGCCAGAAGCUCGUCUUCCUCUGGCGUCCAUGGCCCUCUCUUUAACCCUACCUUGCUGCAACAUGGCGUGCUCUUAUUGGUUGCUGCUGCUGCUGCUGCUGCUGCUGUUGAUGAUGGUGAUGUUGAUGGGUUCCUCAUCGUCUUGUUAUCUUCUUGUUGGCGGUGGUGGUUUUGGCUGUGAAGCUGCUGAUGUGCUGAGCUCUCUCUCUGGUGUGUCAAGCUUUGGAUUUGUCUCUACCCAAUUUGUGUGUAUGGAUUGUGAAAGAAUCCGAUUCUUGUUAUUGUUGUUUGUAUGGUGUGAUGAUGAGAUUGGAUCAUUUUAUAGUAACAUUUUUUUAUGUAUAUUAUUAUAUGAUCGGUGAUGAUAGAUGGGAGGAUUAUAUCAUUAAGCUUCCUUCAUAUUUUUUAUUUUUUUGUUUUAAGGAUAUAGUUUGCCCGUUUGGAUCAAUUAGUUCCAAACUCUUAGGGAAAUGACUCUGUCAGUCUGACACUCGGAUUGAAUUUUGAUCACAUAACUUCGGUCUGUAAGUAAUCACAAAAUGGUAUUCUCGUAUUUGAGACGACAAAGAAAUUCAGGGACUUGUUUGUCUGAACUGUCAUUUUGUUAGUUGUCAAUUUUCAUUUUGUUAACAAAAUGCCAAUUGUCGGCUGACAUUUUGUUUUGUUAGGAGCUGCGGAGUUAGGGACUUGUUUGAGACGACAAAGAAAUUCAGGGACCUGGAUGAUAAACAUUCUUUAAAAUAAUUGUUUGCUUCAGUUUGUCUGAACUUGGAAGUAGGUUUCAAAACGGCAUCACGCUCUUGAGAGUACGCGUGUAAGGACGCGCUAGUUCAUCUGCGAGAUGCAUAAGGAGGACUCGUAACGACUGUGACGCUCUCUCUCUCUCUCUCUCAUGUCAUCUUCAACCAUUCAUGAUAAUGGUACGGAAGCUUUUGGCCGUGCUUUGUGAUUUGAAAAUUUAAUUGGAUGAUUAUAUACUGAUUCGUACUUUGUCUUUUUCCCACACUUGGAGAGCAAAUUUCAGACAUCUUACUCAAUUGAAAAUGUACAUUCUAAGGCACACUUGC